UUUCAUGAACACCACACGACCUUCAAUGAUAGCCAAUAAUUGAGCAGCACUCUACACGUUUUCUUUCAGUUUCAGAUAGACGUCUAGUGUGCACUCUGAAUUCGCACGAUGACCAUCUACGGAAAAAUCGUACAAAUCAUAAUGACAACCCCUUCAACUAAAAAAACGUGACCAAAUGUGAACCUCACCAUGGAUCAUGAAAUGGUUUCAAGAGUACAAACAUCUAUACUUGAAAAAAUAUGAUGCUCAUUUCAAAUACUGUACAUAAUUACAAUUUAAUUAUAAUUAGGAUAUAAUGAAGAUAUUGUUAUUUCAUUUUCUUUUACGGUUACUGUCAUAUUAUACCUAAAAGAUACUCAUUUUUGUAAUUAUUGAUAUAAUACAUUAAUUCAUUUAUUGUUCACUUCCCCUGAUGUAAAUUAUAUAUCAAUAUAAUUUUUUAUGAAU